AUCGUCGCUUUGUCCCUAUAGCUCAUUGGACUUCUAAUCCAAAGGUCGUGGGUUCGAAUCCCACCUGAUAUG